AAUAUACUUUAAUAAAAGUUAUGUGAAUGUGCGUGCGCUCUCUCUCUCUCUCUCAAAAUAUCUUGUACUGUACUCACCUGUUUUCAGACAUGGUUGACCUCUGGUAGCUGAAACUGCAUGAAAAGUGAAACCUAAGAUCAAGGAGGACUGCUAUAUAAUGUUAUUUCCUCUAGAUUUGCCAUUUUUCUUCCUCUAGGUAAAUGUAUAAGCUCCCAUGACCUGAUCUGCAUCUUAUUUUUGUUUUGUUUUAUAUUUCAUUUUACUCCGUUAUUGGAAUCCAAAAUGAUACUAGACUAGCAUCUCCCAAAAUAUGUUUGGUGGAAUUUUCUCAUCAUUAUAAGAAAAAUAAAGGUAUGAAUGCUUAAACACGUUUGAGAAGUUAAAUCCAUUACCUUAUUGAAAGAUUUCUCAGAACCUUUCAUAUGAUGAUAGGAAAUAUAAACAUCUAAGAUGGAAAUAUGGUUAGCACAAAGUAUUUCACAAACAUAUUAGGUGAUAGCAUUAUUUCUUUAAUAUAAAAUUACGUGCUUGUUGGGCACAUAUACUUUUGGAGUCUACAAUAAAGAAAGUAGCAGAGAAGAGGUCUCUUACGACCUAGAAAAACUUUUAAUUUUUUCUGGAGCUGGAGAGUUUAUGAUGGGUGUGUAGGUGUUGUCAGAGGAAAAAAAAAAAAAAACUAUAUAGGAGAUCAUUUUUUUUUACUUGAAUGAAGUGUGAAAUAAGGGAAAAAAAUCAAGGUUGCCCUAUUCUCUAGCAGUCGUGUAAUAGUAUGGAAAUUUCUGAGAAUUGCCAAGCAGUUGACUAGGCUGCUGAGACAUAGUGUAAGAACUAAGGAAAGGGGCCUAGAGUGGGCCCAAGCAUCCCAUAAAGCAAGAGAGAUGGGCGUGAACAGAUAACGAAGGGCCUUAUGUAGAGACUGUACUUCACCUUGUAGGUAAUGAGGGGUGACUACAGAAUUUUUAAAAAGGAGAGUGACAUGACCUGAUUUGCAAAUUAGAUCAUUAUUCAUGUCAUGUGGUACACUGGAAGAAAAAAUUGGAAACAUAUGACAUCAGAUUCAAGGGCAUCAGGUAAAAUGUAAGAGAUAGAUAAGCUCUGAUACAAAGCAGAGGUACUGGGGUUGAAAGGAGAGAUAGAUUAGAAAGUAUAUUUAGGAAGAGAUAUCAUCAGGACAUUGAGACCUAUUACAUAUAGAAGGUAGAAAAGAGAGAGAAAUAGAAGAUAAUUUACAAUUUUUAAAAUUUGACCCCUGGGUGGAGGAUGUAUCAUGAAAUGAAAUCAAGAAUGCCAGAGGAGGAGCAAAUUUUAGAAUGGCAGGGGAUGGAGUGAGACAAUUUCUGAGUUUAUGUUGGAAUAACUGAUUUUAAGUAUUUAUGUUAUACCCAGGUAGAAGUGUUCAACAGUCAGCUUGAAAUAAAGAUCUGAUGUAGACAAUGGAAACUUGAAGUUUUCAGUGUGGUUGGAGUUGUGAGAAUGGAUGGGAUUGCUCAGGAGAGUGGAGGAGAACACAGAGGACUAAAACGUAGGUACUAUCACCAAAGCCCUUUGGGAGGAUAGAGGUAUCUACUGAGGAUAACAUGAAGCAGCAAGAAAUUUACCACAACAUUCAGCCCUUAGUAGCUUGAUGCUUCUAUUUUCAUAACUAAUUUCUGAACUACUAAUAAAAGAGAAUCAUGUCAUUUAAAUACAGAAAUUUUUCACUCCUCUAUAAUGCCUAAGACUGUAUUGACCAAACAGCAGUUGUUUUAAAAUACUUAUUAUUUGAUUAACUUUUUUAAAAGAAAAAAUAAAUACCUUAUGAGUUACAUUUGACCCCAAUAGUCAUGAGGCCCUGACCACCAACUGAAAAUAAUGUGUUUAUUUUUCCUUUCUAGACAUAAUGUUUUUAGUAAUACUGCUAAUUAGAAAACGAUUCUGAUUCUUGAUACUUUAAGCAAUAAUCUUCAAAAAUGUAAAAUCUUAUCAUUUCUAUCUCUUGCCACUAGAUGGCAGAAGUAGCUGAGAUGAUCAUCUGGAAGCAUCUAGUCUUGAGGAAGAAACAGAUUUGUGAACCUAAAUUGAGAAGCUCUUAGUUAAUAAAAACGUAAGAUUUGGCAGAGAUUUGUGACUUGUGCACAAUGUAUUGUGUUCCAGGACUAGUCCAUGGUGAGAGGAAGUAGCUGAGUGAAGUAUGGCCUUGACAGAUGCAUACUGAAUGUUAGGUCCAAAAUCUCCUGAUCGAAAUUCUGUGCAAAUAAAGCACUUCUUUCUUCAACUAUCUUUAAUUGGAAAGGGUACCAACAGCAUACCCCAAAUAAUUCUGACUAUUUAGGCCAGAUAUUGAAAAGCGGGAAGAAAGGAAUGUUAGGCAUAGGACCGAAGCAGCUUCCCAAAAUGUAAGAAUUCUUUCUAGAACCAAAGUCAUCAAGGGUUAAGGCAAGCUUGUCCAACCUGCAGCGACAGGACACAUGUGACUCAGGAGAGCUUUGAAUUAACCCAACACAGAUUCGUAAACUUUCUUAAAACAUCAUGAGAUUUUUUUGCAGGUUUUUUUUUUAGGUUCUUCGGCUAUCAUUAGUGUUAGUGUGUUUUAUGUGUGGCCCAAGACAAGUCAUCUUCCAAUGUGGUCCAGGGAAGCCAAAAGAUUGGACACCCCUGGAUGGGGUUCUCUCCGUGGGUUUGGAAAGAUGAAUUUGUGGGAUGAAAUUUAAUUUUUCUACUUCUUUUAUCUACAUAGUAGUAAUAACAAUAAUAAUAAUGAAAGUUUUCUAAGAAAUAUUUGGUUAUUAAAAAUCAUGUUUUAAAAAAGUUUUUAUAGAAAAUUCUAGAUAAGCAUUAUUAUUAUUUAUAGCUGCAGAUAUUUCUAGAGUUAACUCAGUUACACAGAAAUUUUUCUCAAAACUAAGAUUUCACUGUUGCCAAAACUUUCUGUAACAGAAAUAAUGUACCGAAACUCACAGAGGCUGCUCAUCAGGCACCUAUUGUUACUGUGGUUAAAGACGAUAUUGUCAGUGUACCCUAAAAUUAUACAUAACUUCUAUAUUCCUCUCAUAUUCCUGAAAAGUCUAGAAUUGUAACCUUUUCGUCAGCAUGUUUUCAAUUCUUUUUUCUUAGCAAAGAUAGUCAGAAAUUUUUUUAAAGUCUGCAAAAAUUAAUUCUGGCACUGAUAGUGCUAUCGAAUUUUUAACGAUUUCCCAGCUAAUCCAGAAAAGUAAUAGCAUAUAGCGGAAAGCAGAUGGACUUUAAAAUCUGACUUACUUGUAUUUACAUUGUGGCUCAGUUGCUUUCUAGCUGCGUCUAUUAGCAAACCUAUUAAUUUCUAGCCUCUUGGAAAUAAUAGUAUAGAAUUCACAUGCCAUGCUGUAAGGAUUACUUGAGAUAAUACAUGGGAAAUCUGUAGUACUUGGCACCUAGUAGUUGCUCAGUAAAUGGUAAUUAUUUCACGUUAAAAAAUAAAAGGUACAUAUGUAUAUAAGAACAAAUCUAAAUUUAAGACUAAUAAACCAUUUGAGCUCUCAGUAUUGAUUGAAAAUUGUUAUAUCCUCAUCCUUGAUGUCCUUCAGAGAAUGGUUUUACACUAUAGAUUAUUUCCAUAUCAGCUGAGCAAGGGUGUAUUAUUCAACUUGUUAUCUCUUCUGCAAAAGUGAAUGUCAGCUUGGUUAGCUCGAUUUGUAGCAGAUGAGUUGGGGGCAUUUUGAGCGUUCCAAAGGAGAAUUUACUAAAGCAUGAAGAAAUGGGUUUUCUUUUGCGGCUAGUUGUGGAAGAUAUUAGAACAUAUGCAUAAUUUUUAAAGAUUGCCACUAGGAAGAAAGCAUUGAUUUAGGUAUAAUUUGUAAAGAUUGCCACUAGAAAGAAAGCAUUGAUUUAGGUAUAUAAUUCCUGCUAUGUUUAUUUAAAAAUUAUUGCCUUAAAAAUUAAAAAGCAUUACUUCAUAGGAACAUGUUGAUAUCUAGUGAGCUUUAUGUAAUAAAAUAAGAGACAUUUAACAAGUAUUGAAUUCACAUAUAAAACAUACUAUAGAUCUAGAGAAUAUAAUUAUUAGCCUAUGAAAAUGGAACAAGUUUUUGUUCUAUGUCUGGUGAUGUAUUCAUAAACAUACUCGACUAAUUCUAAAUACAGAUGCAAUUCCACUUCUGUAAACUCUAAGAGAUCACUCUAAUACCAUUCAAUAUGUUAUAUUAUUGUUAUUAAAAUCAGGCAUAUAUUAACCUGGGGACAAGGAGAUUUUGAUUGUAUCAACAGUCUGUAUUUGUUCAUUUAUAUGUAUUCAACAUAACUACUAGGCUUCUAGUGGAGGAAGGUAAGAGGCAGCAGCUAAGUUCUAAAAUUUAAUUUCGUGAGUUUUUAUUUAUUUGUAUGCAUAUCUGCUCACCUACCUUUCUGUCUACAGACUGUUUUAGGAGAAAUAAUAACAAUAAUAAAAUGUAGUGUUUAUUGACUUCCUAAUAUAUUGUGGAGACUAUUCUAAAUGCUUUACAUGUAUCGGUUUAGGAGACUGAACAACCCUAUAAGGUAGGUUUUCUUAUUAUUUACACUUUGCGGAUUGGGAAAGAGGGCAUCAAGAAGUUAAAAAGGCUUUUCUAAGGUCACACAGUGAGUACGUGAUAUAUCUGGGAUAUGAGUCCAGCUAGUCUGAGAUCAGACCUCUCGUUCUUAGUCACAGUUACAUUAUUUACCGGCAAAUGAGAAUUGUACAAUGUUAAGAUAGAAGGAGACAGAAAUGAUCAAAUCCAGUCUUUUCAAAAUGCAGCUGACCUAUCAGUACAUGUGAAACAAAUUUAAUUGUUAAUUUUAGAAUAGCAUAAAGGAAUAGAAUAGAUAAUCAUGUGCAUCACAAAUAAAACCUUUGUUUCAGUUUAGUGUGGAUAUGUGUGGGUGCAUACUGGCUCACAGUGCAAAAUGUAUUUCUUACUGUGAUCAAGGUCAAGAAAAUCAGGAAGCCACUGAUCUGGUCCAGCUUCCCCACAUUACAAAUACUAGGGAAGGGACUGGGAAGAAAA